GUCGCUUUGGCCGAGUGGUUAAAGCGCUUUCCGUCCCAAGUAGACGGGAGUUCGAAUCUUCCAUGAGUCA
rnacentral:tRNA from 1 species